rnacentral:pre_miRNA from 1 species
CUUACUUCUCUAGUUGUAGGACUUCCAUUCAGCCAGCUUUCAGGCAGUACUGGAUGAUGGUUGUUCUGUAUUUUAGUUGUAAU